rnacentral:rRNA from 1 species
UACGUAGGGGGCAAGCGUUUGUCCGGAAUCAUUGGGCGUAAAGCGCGUGUAGGCGGCCCGGUAAGUCCGCUGUGAAAGUCCAGGGCUCAACCCUGGGAUGCCGGUGGAUACUGUCGGGCUCGAGUCCGGAAGAGGCGAGUGGAAUUCCUGGUGUAGCGGUGAAAUGCGCAGAUAUCAGGAGGAACACCGAUGGCGAAGGCAGCUCGCUGGGACGUGACUGACGCUGAGACGCGAAAGCGUGGGGAGCAAACAGG